rnacentral:rRNA from 1 species
GACGAACGCUGGCGGCGGGCUUAACACAUGCAAGUCGAACGAAGUGGCGAACGGGUGAGUAACGCGUAAUCAACCUGCCCUUCAGAGGGGGACAACAGGAGGAAACGAAUGCUAAUACCGCAUACUGAAGGAGGGGAUUGAGUCUGAUUAGCUAGUUGGAGGGGUAACGGCCAACCAAGGCGAUGAUCCGUAGCCGUUCUGGGGUGUUGGACGGCCACCUUGGGACAUGUACCCGGCCCAGCCUCAUACGGGGAGGCUCAGUGGGGAAUCUUCCGCAAUGGGCGGAAGUCUGACGGAGCAACGCCGCGUUAGUGAUGACGGCCUUCCGGUUGUCAAACUCUGUUUAUCGGGACGCGGUACCGGAAUAGAAAGCCACGGCUAACUACGUGCCAGCCGCCGCGGUAAUUC